ensembl:lncRNA
CCGCUCCCCAUACAAACCUGCUCUCUCCCCUCAUCCUAUAUAUUGUUUAGUGAGACCACUUCCCAGGCCUCUAACCCAGGAAUUGGGGUGUCCUCUGAGAUGAUGUGGAUGAGAGCCUUCUGGGCAUAGGGACCGGGACAUGGAUCAGGGUGCUAGAUUCUCAGGCACAUGGCUGAAUUGUUUGGGGCUGGGAGGUGCACGUGAGAGGCGGGGAAGUAAGCAGGGCCCUGCAUGGCUCCCCACCCUACACACAUGUGGGGUCACUGAGGUGCUGUAAGCAUGCUGAGGCUGAGGUCCUCCCCCCCGAGAUUCUGACUGGGUGAUGGAUUUUUAAAAGAUUUCCAGUUGAUUCUAAUACCAAGUUGACACCUGGUGACCUAGAAGAUCACAAGAGGAAAUGAAGCCACAUGCACUGUAUAGACUUGCAGUGUCCCAUUAAUGAAUUCCCUGUACGUAAAAUUAGAAUUUCAUCUCCUCAGCCCCACAAGCGCAUGUCAAAUGUCCGGUGGCCACCAUGGUGCACAGCACAGACCAUCGUCAGCGUUCCCAUCGUCUCAGAAAGCUCGAGUGGACUGGACUGGUUCAUCUCUAACUCCACUCGGUUGGAAUGAGAAGCCAGGAGCGGUUGAUGAGAUCUCCAGCGCACGCUGACCGUCGGACCCGGAGCCCAGGAAAGAGGAGGAGCCAGGGCUCCAGCUGCAUCGGUGGACCCCUGGCCGCUCAGUGGGAAUCGGGGCUGAGCGCGGGGUCUUUGGGAGCAGCACCCUCCCGGGCGGGCAGGCAAUACAGAGGGACGCCACAUCUUGCAAAGGUUCUCUGUUGCUCAACGCUGUGGUGCUGCAGCUUCUGCUUCUGUGGUGCCUGCAGGGUCCCACUCAUCCUGCAUCUUUGUGGUUUUGCAGAUGGUAACCCCAUAGCCUUGCUAUCCAACACCUCAGACUUCACCCCUCCAGCCACAUGUCCCAGUGCCUGGGUUUGUUUGGGGGAGAUACCUUCCAGGCUAUGGGAGGGAAGGGUGGAGAGGGGGGCCCGCUCUUCACUGCUGAUGCCCCUCUCUCCCCUGCACCCCACAGGCAUGCACAGAGAUGUCCAAGGCCAGGUGGCUGAGUGUGGGGUGUGCAGGACGACUUUGGUGGUAUGGGUGGACAAACAGUGCCGUCCACCUGAAGGCCGGCCUGUAGAGGGUUGAACAGGACCCUCCAGGAACAUAUGUCCUUCUGGAACCACAGAAUGUGACCUGAUAUGGAAAUAGGGGUUUUUCAAGUGUUCUCCCUUAAAGAUCUUGUGGUGAGACCCUCUAGACCUCACCAGGUCACCUCACCUCUAGACCUCAUCUCUAGACCUCAUCUAGGACUUUUGACCCAGUGAGAUGUCCUUACAAGGAGGGAAGAGGUGGAGAGACAUGCUGAUGAGAAGUUGGCAGGGAGUUGGAGGGAGUCUGGAGGGCAGCCUGGAGCCACUGGGAGCUGGAGAAGGAAGGGAUCUCCCCUGAGCCUCCAGAGGGACACAGGCCCCUGACACCUGCUCUCAUAGUGAGAGUGCGUUCCUACUGUUCAGAGCACCCUGGUUUGAGGCACACGGUCACGUCAGUCCCAGGACCCUUGCACAGAACCCCAUGAUCAGCAACAUUACCUGGACAAGGAUGGCUUGUCACAUUUCCUGAGGCCCAACAUUUGGACGACAAAGGAAGAAUGGACCUAAGAGGCCGUGGGGUCUCUCUCUAGGCGCCCCCCUACCACUUGCCAGUGGUGGAUGGAGGGCAGGGGACAGGGUGCAGGGUGCNCUUCCUGAGGCCCAACAUUUGGACGACAAAGGAAGAAUGGACCUAGGAGGCCGUGGGGUCUCUCUCCAGGCGCCCCCUACCACUUGCCAGUGGUGGAUGGAGGGCAGGGGACAGGGUGCAGGGUGCGUGUACUCUGCAGGCCUUUCAUUCAGUCUUUGCUACAACUCUGUGGGCACCCCCGCACUCUGGUGAGGACACUGAGGCCCAGAGAGGCUCCCCAAGGCUUCACAGCUUGUAGGAGGCAAAAUCGGGGAAGCCUCAGGAAGCCCAGCAGCAGAUGGUGGGUUGGGACCAGUGCACGUUGGCAGGCCAGCCUCUCUUGUUGGGGAUUGUGGCCAUCUUUCCAAGACUUCGGGGUGCCUGCUUCUGCUUCUGUGGGGUCCAGUGGAGCUGAGGAAGCAGGAAGGUAGGUGCUGACCAUCUGCUGUCCAGGGAUGCUAUCUAGGUGAGGCCAUUUGGGGGCCGCCCCAGAUCUGUGGAGUGAGACCCCAGGGCAUCUGUGUGCACACGGCAGUUGGAGAAACCGUGGACGUGGACUGGAUCCCGCGCUCCCAGAAAUCAGGCCAACCAGGAGGGACUGCACACAGUUCUCUACCUAGACCCAUGGGUAGAGACCCGUCCCUCCUGGCUGGCACCCCGUCCCCAGGAAGUUAGCCAUCACUUAUCAGAAAUCAGUCACCCAUGCCCUUUCUCCUAUGCUGCUCACGGUGCAGGGAUGGAAACUUCUGGAACGGGGUCCUUGGGACAGCUGAGCUUGGGCAAGGCGAGCAGCAGAGCUCUGGGUGUGCCCUUCCCAGGGCAGUGCUGGUCCUCCCUGCAUCCCUUCCCAGUUUGGCUCUGGGAUGUCAUGGCUCUCGGGCUGGGGUCGCAGAGGGGGCCCGUUGGACACAGAUUCCCCUGCUUUGUGAGGGGCCUCACAGAAUUCGGGUGGAAUGGUCCCAUGAUUUGAUGUGUUUUGUCACCACGCCCCUUCUGUGACACUGAGGACUGUGUGAUACUCCCAGUUUCUAGGAGGUGAGGGCGUCUGGUGGGCUCGGGGCCUGCAGUGGACUCAGAGUGUGCGGUACUUGGAGGCCCAGGGCCCGGGUGGUGGAGAAGGAUCCUCCGAGCACUCGUGGGCCUUGGCUCCCUCUGCUAGGGAUGGGGGCCCGCAGCGACGGACGGCCCAGCCGCCUUGCAGGGGUGUCAGGUCUGAAUGGAGAGGAGCUAGAGGUGGCGGAAGUGGCUGAUGGACACACCUGCCCUGGAUGCAGGCACUGCUCUGUGCAGCAAACACACCCUCUGCUUCCUGUCUGCCCGCACGGCCCUCGGGCAUGUGCUGCCCCAAAGGGGACACCCACAGUGUCUCCGGACACUUCCACAAUCCUGUUGUCAAAGGGCAGAUGUCUUCAGGCCUUGCUGCCGUGCUUUAAAAAUAUGUCCUUAGUUACAAAGGAAAGGAAAGACAGGAAAGGCCUCUUAAGAAUGGAAGGGAAGUGUGUAUAACACGGGGUCACCAUGCUGGCCACCUGAGCCGUGGUGGUCUAACCUCCUCAGGCGGGAGUACAGGCUUUUUGUGAUCUGACCUAUGUCUUUCUCAGCGGCCUGCUGUCACCUGAGCUGCACUGGGCUUAUUAUUAGUUAUAUAUUUUUGAGCAAUUGGGUACCUUGUCUUUGCUCGUGCUGUUGCCUUUGCCUGGAGUUCUCUUUCUUUUGUGUUUGACAGACCCCUUCUCAUCCUCCGAGAUGGAUUUACAGAAAGCUAAAGACUGUCAGCCUUAGGGCCUCUCUUGCACAGCACCUGCCAAGCCCCUCUAUCCCUGGAAAGGGGCCCUAGCAAUGUGUUUGUAUGACAAUGAAUUUUUAAGAAUUUUGCUAAAGUAAGAUGCUUUGCUUGUGCUUGGCUAAACCCACUGGCUCUUCCCGCUCUGAUGCCCUGGCCUUGCUCUCCAGCGUCAUGACAGCAGGGGCAGCGGGGAUGUUCCUAGAGGAGCCCCCGCCCCACAGAGCCAGCUCCCAGAGCCUUACCCAUAUCACACUGACCAUGUACCUCGCUGGCACGUCUGCAGGUGCCCCAGCUCACGUCCACCGUGACCUGAGCCCCAGAUGCAUGCUCCAAGCCUUGCCAUGUGGUUUCACGGUGUUUUACGGAAUGUAAACAUCUAUUUUGAGUUGGAAGAGGAACUCAAACCCUGGUGCAAGAUCCGAAAGUUUAUUUAAAAAGUCAAUAAAGCUCAAGGACACCGUUUUAGCUGCA